rnacentral:sRNA from 1 species
GCGCGGGCUGUGCCAAUCGGACAUGACGAAGGCGGAGAACACGGGAAUUUUUCCGAUUUCUUCCCGUGGCCAACGAAACGGCAGUCGAGCGCCACUGCAUGUUUCCU